GUAAACGGUUAACACGUGAAAUGUAAAUUGCGAUAAUAAUUUAAAUAAUUAAAUUAGUAAAAGUGCAUCAAAUUUAAUAAAAUUUGUAACAAAUUAAAGAGAAAAUUGUAAUCUUUAAGAUGAUAUAAAAAUUAGAAUACAAGAUAUUGUAAAAAAGCUUAAAUCAGUGAAUAAAGUUUGUAACAAUAGUGAUUGCCAAAAAUUUGAUUAAGUAAACCAGUGCAAAGCGUAAAGGGCAAGAAAAGCAACAACAAGUGCAAAACAAAAAGGCUCAGAAAAGCAACAACAAGUGGACAAGUAAAGAACAUAGCAAAUGUCACGCCACAUUUGUAUGAAUUAUAAUAAAAUAAAAAGCAAUAACAAAAUGCUAGUUAAGACAAAUCUCUUUAUGAGUGAAUGUUGUUUUUGUUGUAGAUGGAAAAAAGUGUGUCAACUAAAUGUGUUAAUAAAUAUCACAAUUAAAUUGUAUAUAAAAUAGAUUUGCAAAAAAAUAUAAAAUAAUAAAAAAGUGUUGAACUGUAAAUAUGUAUAAUAAAAUAAAAAAGUUUAAAACAAUAAUAAAAUUAUAAUAAAAUACUAUGAAAUGUUUAACGGCUGGUUCUACAGUGUACUUUAAGUUGCUGCUACUGGUGAUGACUAUGCUGAGCUGCUGCUGAUGUUGAUGUUUAGAUGACGAUGGUGAUCUAAUGUUAAACAAUGUUGCUGGCAAUCUUUUCAUAUUGUUAUAUGAUGAUUUUGUUGUUAUUAUCGAUGCUGCUGUUACUGUUUUGUUGUUGUUGCCGUUGUUAUUGUUGUGUGGAGCGUGAAAUUAUGGCUUUUGUGGUUUGGCUUAUUGGGUUACUGCUGGACAUUUCUUAACUGUGCCUUGGUUUGGAAGUUCCGUCUUAACAGUUGUAGUGUUUGUCUAUAUUUAACGCAUGUCGCUUCGGCAAUUAGAGUAAUCCAAGCCAUGUAACGGCGGGAUAUUGAAAAAUUGCAAACCAACGUAACAGUUUGAUACUACAAUGUUUUUGUGGUGAUAAAAUUGAGCUGAAUGAAAAUUUUCAGCUAGGUAUGAGGUUUUACUAAACGUAAAUGAAAAUUGAAGGAUUUUUUCUAACAUAUGGAUAAUUUAUCUUUCAUAUUGUAAUUGGUGAGAUCAGUUUUCACCCAAUUAAUUUAUGUAAAGAUCAUUUCUCGUUUCUCAGUCAUCAGGAGAAUCAUAAAGCGAUUGUUAUAGUUUGACUUGGGCAUUUCCAAUUUACUUUUAUUUUGUUAAGAGAUUCCAUGUUCCUUUAUUAUGACAUCUAAUGUCAAAACCAAACUAAUUACUUCCAUACUUUCCACAACAAUCCAAACAUAAUGAUCUCUUAAAGAUUGAUCAUUUCUUUAUCAAAUC